rnacentral:rRNA from 1 species
UACCAGCACCCCGAGUGGUCGGACGAUUAUUGGGCCUAAAGCAUCCGUAGCCGGUUCUACAAGUCUUCCGUUAAAUCCACCUGCUUAACAGAUGGGCUGCGGAGGAUACUAUAGAGCUAGGAGGCAGGAGAGGCAAGCGGUACUCGAUGGGUAGGGUAAAAUCCGUUGAUCCAUGAAGACCACCAGUGGCGAAGGCGGCUUGCCAGAACGCGCUCGACGGUGAGGGAUGAAAGCUGGGGGAGCAAACCGGG